UAACCCAGCUCAAACCACUUCCCCCACUCGUGAUUUCAUCACAGCCAAAAGCUGUGCUUGAGCUGCUGGGCACCCUGUGGGCACCUAAAGCCUAAGGGGAAUUUUUAAGAGAGAAAGAAAUGGCUCCAGAGAGCCCCAUAACUCUAAGCAAGUUGUUCUUUAGGACAGUCAUAAUUUCAUUUCUUAUUGAUACUUCUGCAAGGAGAGCCAUUCUCCUGCUGCUGGAGGCUCUAGCUGCAGACACAGCCUUGGAAGGGAAGCUUGCUCUCAUGGCUACGGCAGAGGAAUGGGAAGCACGAGAUCUGGCAUGAAGUGCUGCUCCCAUUGAAGCCAGUGGGAUGUUUGCCAUUGGCUUCAGGGGAAGCCAAGAUUUCAGUCUGCAGCCAGAUUUGCUGGUGUGCUGUUCUAUCCUGAGAGCAGGAGCAGAGAGGGUUCUUGGUUUCCUGAUAAAGCUCUCGCUGCCUCGGCUCCUCUGCUGCCUUCUCACCUCACACUGGCCCCUCCUUGCUUUCAAAUCUCAGGCCUCUUUCAAAUCCUUGAUGAAGAGACUGGUGCAUGGUUUGUGCCUGUGGUAUUGUCCCAUGAUUGCAGCUCUUGGACUGGGGGUUGUGGACAGUGCUAGAGAGGGGCAUGAGGCAAUUAAAGCAACAGGACAGGCUGGGGGAAGAGGCUUAGAUGAAGUAACAUAUGGGAUUUGCUGCAGGUCAGUAACUGUGCCUUCUUCUCCAGGCAGCAACUUGGAUCAGCUCUAAGAAUUAACUCUAAGUGGUUCAGGAGAGCCUGGAGAGAUUGUAAAGGUGGUCCAAGGACGGCUCUCUCUGUUCAUCGUGUGGGAUUGGUCUCUGCUGCCCCUUUCAGGGAACAUCUGUAAGCACAUCACAUCUGUAAAAAAAAGGCAGGAAGGUUUAUCUGCUGGACAAAGAAGUUGUCCUGAAUUUGCUCACCUCUCCAGAUGCCUCAUGUUUGACAGCUUCUGCUCCUGGCCAGCCACAGCUUGUGUUCUCUGGCCACCUGGGACCUGAUCUCCUUCCUCUGACACUUCCACAGAGAGCAGCUGCUGGGAGAGACUUUCUGGCUCUGAUUCUAGCACUCCAAGCACAGCAUCCUGGGAUGGCUUUCCCAGGGUUCUGGCAGAUUUGAAGGCCAGGCAUCAUGGCCAAUAUUGCUCCCAUACACCCACAUCCCACAUUUAGGGUGUCCUUGUGGGUGUGACCCUGGAACCAGCUUCUCAUGGAGGACACCACAGUGAAACUCCCUUCUGGCACCCAGGCCUUGGACCUGCAAAGUCUUCCCUGUGUGGUUGGUGUCUUUGACCAUUCCCUGGGACUGUUUCCUGAAGAGAAAGAGCAGCAUUUGGCCCUUGGCUUUUAGGAGAGUUUCCUAACACAAACCUCAAAACAAAUGGAAACGCUUUCCUCCCCUUUCAGACCAAGACAAAGACUGAGGGUGAGGUUUUAAGGCUAAUUAAGUUUUUGGUGUCUUUUUUUUUUUUAAUUUCUCUCAGCUGAGGACAUCCCUGGCACUAUGAUAAAAGCCCCCACUGCCCACUGGGGCUCCUUGUGGUGAAUGUGCUCCUGAGAGACACAAAGGUUUCCCCAGAAGCACAUUCCCAUUCCAUGGCUCUAAUUAGAGAAGAUUUUCUGUGAUUGUUGCUAACAAUGUUCUUCCUUGCCCUUGGCUCAGCAGGAACCCGAUUAGUGACUUCCCAGGGUCCUUGAAACCCAAGGGAAUUAAUUUGCCUUUAAUUUUGUCCAAGCUGAUACUUAGGGGAACAGCUGGGAAUAUUGUAAAGCAGCUUCUGGCAGUGAAGAAUCCCAGCAAAGCAUUUCCCAGAGCCCUGGUAGUGAUGCUCAGUCUGCCCACCUGAAGCCAGCCCAUGCAGGGAGCUGCAGCAUUAACCAAUGAAAGACACAGCCCUGCUCCUCUUCCUUUUCCUUACAACAGCUGGAUUUGCCCAGAUGUGCUUUGGUGGUACCUGGUGACCACACCGUAUUUGUGUCACUUUGCUGCUGUUCACAGCUUUUUUCAGUGUUUAUUGACAGCCAGACUCAUCCUUCAUUUCUUGAUGGAUGCUCAUUCCAGCUUCCCAGGAUCUGGGCUGUCCUGACAUGCCAACAUGUGCAGCCUUGGAUGGAGCAGUUCAUUGCUGUGUAACUGAGGGAACCACUGUGCAAUAGGAACCACAAUGACACUGCCUGGCUGGGGAUUUUUAAAGCACUUUGAGCUCCUUGGAAGGACCAGGGUAGGUGCACACCUCUUCUGUUACUCUGUGGUUAAAGGCUGGCUGAGAUGAUGGUUUGGAUAGAAAACAGCAGCCAACAGAGUAGCUCACACAUCCCUAGAGGUGAUCACUUCAUGGUCUGGGGCAUUUUCAGGGGCUACUUCACUUCCCAGGUAUAGGAAAGGCUGAGCCAGUCUGGGGCUGGGACACCUCUGCAGGGCUGUGUUCAGGACACAGGAAUUCCAUCAGAGCCAUGCUUAGCCUUAGCUUUUGCUGUAACAAUUACAAGUGAUAAAAUACCAGUUUUCUCAAUUUGCCUUCCCACAAGUUGGUUUAAAGGUAAUGAAGGCAGAUCCUGCUAUAGCUUAGUGCAUUACAAGCCAACUCAAAUGACUCCCCACUGUCUUUUCAUCUCCAUGAGACUUUUAAUGCCCUAAGUCUUUGCAUGUCCUGGCACACAGCCCAAUUGAAGCAUGAGCUCCAACAGAAGUUUUACAUUUAAAGCUGUUCUUUUGGCUUCAUAAAUUUGCAGAUUGAGGGUGAGAGAAGCAAUUCAGCUGUUUACUUGCAGAUCUCCACCAGCCCUGCUGUGCUCUUGCCCUCGCCUCGGUCAGAGUUGUGUUAACAGCAUUUUCCAAUUAAAGUAGCAGCCUCAGUUACAGAAAAUGCUUUUCCUAUCUGGGAAUGUAUCUGAUUUUACUCUUUUUAAAUUACUUAUGGAGCACAGGGGUGUUUUGUUUCCCACCCCUUAUUAUAAUUAAUCCAUCAUCAUUUCUGGUGACAAGGUUGGCUUUUGUUGAAUUUUUUAUUUCUUGCCAUUUCCAUCAGCUUGUUCCAAUACCACUCAGACUCCACAUUACUGAUGAUGGGGAGAGUGAUGUGAGCAAUCAGGCAAAUAUCAAGUGGACGAGCAAUUCCUGAAUUUCUGCUCACUUAGAGCAGGAAAAAUGACACCUAUUCUGGAGAUAACCCAGCCAGAAAAUCUUAGAGCCAUACUGUGUAAAUUGUAGCCACUUCCCUGUCUGAAAUAGUUCUGCUCUGAAAACUUGGCUUUCAAGACCUCCACAGCCAAGACAAAAGCUUCUUCCUGUUACCUGAAAAUUCCAAGUCUCCAAGAGAAUCAAUGGUAGCAGUUGAAACCUCCAUCUUUCUUCCCAGUGAUGAGGUAAGAGCUUCUUUUUUGCCCUUCACCUCACUGAAAGGGACGUGCAACAAGCCUUGGUGCAACAAGCUCAGCAAAGCUUUGUGGGAUGCAGUGAGAUCUGACUCUGGGAUUUUCACUCCUGCCAGUUUUCCAUAGUGGACCCCAUUGUGACUGUCUUCUGGCUGAACAUGCUUUGAACAUGAGCAUGGCAGUGCUUGGGCUGGGCCUGCAGGGCCUGGGGCAGGACCAGGUGCAGUGACAAAAUCCAAAAUCCCAGUGCUGAUAUCCUGUCCCAGGAGGCCACAAAGCCCCUCUGUCCAACAGCAUCCUCCUCCCAGAGUCUGGGCAGCUGCAGCUGGGCCCACUGCAGUGUCAGGACCCUUGCAAGGAUGCUCCAGCCACACACUCCCAGACAAGGAAGCAAAGCCUUCUGCUGCCCCCACGUGUUGCUUGUUCAUUAUUGUUGCCACACACCAGUUAAGACCUGGGAACACUAUUGGGAAGUGUGAGAGAGGAGCUAGCACAGCUAUGCAGCUCUAGAGGUCAAGGAUCUUGCUUUGGAAGGCUCUUCUGUUCCUUCUGUUCCUCCCUCAAGCUCAGGGUGUUCCUUGUACUCAAAAAACUGCAAAAUCAGAUUGGGCCUGUUUGGAAAUGAGAUGAUCUGGAGGCAGCAAAGCACAGAGGUGUCCUGGUCCCACCCAGGACGUGUGUGAGCCCUGGGAGCUGGCCAGUGAUGCCGAGCGAUAUCGGAUACGGCACAGAGCAUCCAGGAGCCUUGGCUCAGGCCACGAGGAGCACAGAGCAAGAGACAGCUCUUGGCAGGCUCAGCUCACAUGAUAAGGUCAUUGGAAAGACAAGUGAUGCUUUCAUCAACCUGCCUCUCCCCAGAAUCAGCACCAGCUCAAGCAAGGGCUCACUCUGGGCUCCUGUAAUACUCCGUGUAGUGCCAAGGACAAAAGCUUACUCCCAAAUAGGUUGAAGCUGCUUUUCCCAACCAGUGUCCCAGCCCCCAGCUCUCAUCCUUCCUGGCCCUGACAGGUUCCAGUUUUGAACCACUGAACAGACCCUCUUGGAAAGGUAAUUUUCUCUCGGGAUCAGUGGCACCUCUCAAGCUGCAGGGAGAGCAGGCUGUAGUUGCUGGCUCUCUGCUGCUUCCCAGCAGUUACAAUUAAGGAUCUUGUGGUUUUGUCCUUUGUUGGGGUAGCACAUGCUAACUAUUCUGGAGAGCAUCAAUCCCAAAAGCUGCCUGAAGCCUGGGCUGACAGGUUGGUAGUAGCAGCCAAGCUCUCUCAUGGAACCAGUCUGUGCCUGGGGAGGUCCCAGAGCAGUGUUUCUGACCAUCCCUAGCACAGCUCCUUGCAAUGGUAGGGCUGGCUCUUUGCCAUCCUUUCACCGAGAGCCGUUUUGGAAUGGCACCAUGAAGAGAUGGGCCAUGGAGCAAUUCCUCAGCUCAGAUUGUCCACAGACUGCCCUGGACACUGCCUGGAGCUCUCAGAACAUUUGAAGGGAGCAGCACUCGCUGGCAGGGCUUACGUGCUCCUACAAUUGGGGAUUGCAAACACAUGCUUCAGCUAUGCAAGAAAUCCUUGACUUGUUCUGAAUGCAAUUCUGCCUGGGUUUCUUCCCAGGAACAUUCCUGUUCUUCACAAUUUACCAGUUGCAGGAAGGGAGAAGGGGGAGGAGGAGUUUUAGGAGUAAGGGAGAGGAAAGGGAACAAAUCUCACGGUGCUUUCCCUCGCCAAAUUUCUCCAGAAGGACAGGGUGUGGAGCAUGGACUCCAGAGUCUGGGACAAUCCCAAGAAAAUAUGAAUUACAAAAUUAAAA